GAUGGAGAGCUUGAAUGAAGAAAUAACAUGGACUUGUAGCAUAAUUCCCCAGAACACAUGCAAGAGGCUGCACAAUUCACCACCAGAUGAAUCACAGGUUCCCUGGAAGAAUACUCAGAUUUAUUCCCCAUUCCAUCUGAAUGGCCAGGAACAUACAAUCUGAAUAAAAACCCCAGAUGUGCCAAGAGGAGUUUCUUGCCCCAGGUCAAAGAGCAAGGCAAAAAAGUUGUUUUCCAUGCCAAGCUCAAACAAACAGGAA
rnacentral:lncRNA from 1 species